GCCGAAGUGGCGGAACUGGUAGACGCGCUAGGUUCAGGGUCUAGUGGGGAUUUACCCCGUGGGAGUUCGAGUCUCCCCUUCGGCACCA
rnacentral:tRNA from 1 species